rnacentral:rRNA from 1 species
GACGAACGCUGGCGGCGUGCCUAAUACAUGCAAGUUGAGCGCUGAAGGUUGGUACUUGUACCAACUGGAUGAGCAGCGAACGGGUGAGUAACGCGUGGGGAAUCUGCCUUUGAGCGGGGGACAACAUUUGGAAACGAAUGCUAAUACCGCAUAAAAACUUUAAACACAAGUUUUAAGUUUGAAAGAUGCAAUUGCAUCACUCAAAGAUGAUCCCGCGUUGUAUUAGCUAGUUGGUGAGGUAAAGGCUCACCAAGGCGAUGAUACAUAGCCGACCUGGGAGGGGGAUCGGCCACAUUGGGACUGAGACACGGCCCUAACUCCUUCGGGAGGCAGCAGUAGGGAAUCUUCGGCAAUGGACGAAAGUCUGACCGAGCAACGCCGCGUGAGUGAAGAAGGUUUUCGGAUCGGAAAACUCUGUUGGUAGAGAAGAACGUUGGUGAGAGUGGAAAGCUCAUCAAGUGACGGUAACUACCCAGAAAGGGACGGCUAACUACGUG